GAGUUCUUACGUGAUUAUAAUGAAUGAGCGAGGUUACCAAUGACUGCCCAAGUGCCCUGCUAUAUAGCAGGAGGUUCCUGAGGCUGCCUCCCAACCGCCGGUCACUGAGUCCUGGCACAGAAAGUUCCCGGGGAAAGUGAGGAGUUUCAGGGUACCCUCAUAAAAAUAUCCCAGUCUUCCCACUGCUCCCUUGCCCACUGCUCAGGUCACAGCGGGGGCUCUGGGAAAGCUGAGCUCGACUCGGGAGAUUUCCCUGUCUCCAGAACUAAAGGUGGAAGAAACCCACAAAAGGUGAAGAAGAAGGAAAGGUUUUUAACAUUUUGGCCACUGAAAUCUUAUCAUACAUCAGAGCCUGGAACUCUGCCACCCAUCCACUUGGCCAAUGCUGGACCAGAAAUGUUGAAUAUGUGA
rnacentral:lncRNA from 1 species